GACGAACGCUGGCGGCGUGCUUAACACAUGCAAGUCGAACGGAAAGGCCCUGCUUUUGUGGGGUGCUCGAGUGGCGAACGGGUGAGUAACACGUGAGUAACCUGCCCUUGACUUUGGGAUAACUUCAGGAAACUGGGGCUAAUACCGGAUAGGAGCUCCUGCUGCAUGGUGGGGGUUGGAAAGUUUCGGCGGUUGGGGAUGGACUCGCGGCUUAUCAGCUUGUUGGUGGGGUAGUGGCUUACCAAGGCUUUGACGGGUAGCCGGCCUGAGAGGGUGACCGGCCACAAUGGGACUGAGAUACGGCCCAGACUCCUACGGGAGGCAGCAGUGGGGAAUAUGGCACAAUGGGCGGAAGCGUGAUGCAGCAACGCCGCGUGCGGGAUGACGGCCUUCGGGUUGUAAACCGCUUUCGCCUGUGACGAAGCGUGAGUGACGGUAAUGGGUAAAGAAGCACCGGCUAACUACGUG
rnacentral:rRNA from 1 species